CAGCCGCCGCGGGAAUACGUAGGUGGCAAGCGUUGUCCGGAAUUAUUGGGCGUAAAGGGCUCGCAGGCGGUUUCUUAAGUCUGAUGUGAAAGCCCCCGGCUCAACCGGGGAGGGUCAUUGGAAACUGGGAAACUUGAGUGUAGAAGAGGAGAGUGGAACUCCACGUGUGGCGGUGAAAUGCGUAGAGAUGAGGAGGAACACCAGUGGCGAAGGCGACUCUCUGGUCUGUAACUGACGCUGAGGAGCGAAAGCGUGGGGAGCGAACAGGAUUAGAUACCCGCGUAGUCCCUGUCUCUUAUAC
rnacentral:rRNA from 1 species